rnacentral:rRNA from 1 species
CAGCAGCCGCGGUAAUACGAAGGGGGCUAGCGUUGUUCGGAUUAACUGGGCGUAAAGGGCGCGUAGGCGGGUUUUUAAGUCAGGGGUGAAAUCCCAAGGCUCAACCUUGGAACUGCCUUUGAUACUGGAAGUCUUGAGUCCGGGAGAGGUGAGUGGAACUGCGAGUGUAGAGGCGAAAUUCGUAGAUAUUCGCAAGAACACCAGUGGCGAAGGCGGCUCACUGGCCCGGUACUGACGCUGAGGCGCGAAAGCGUGGGGAGCAAACAGGAUUAGAUACCCGCGUAGUCCCUGUCUCUUAUAC